UAUUGGUGCUCCCGCAAUGCUAACUUGUUAACUUGGUCAGAUCUGGAAAGAAGCAGCCAUAGCAAGGGAUGUGUGUGCUGGGAUGUUGCUGGUAGAG
rnacentral:SRP_RNA from 1 species